rnacentral:rRNA from 1 species
CGUGCUUGCACUGAUUUCAACAAUGAAGCGAGUGGCGAACUGGUGAGUAACACGUGGGAAAUCUGCCCAGAAGCAGGGGAUAACACUUGGAAACAGGUGCUAAUACCGUAUAACAACAAAAUCCGCAUGGAUUUUGUUUGAAAGGUGGCUUCGGCUAUCACUUCUGGAUGAUCCCGCGGCGUAUUAGUUAGUUGGUGAGGUAAAGGCCCACCAAGACGAUGAUACGUAGCCGACCUGAGAGGGUAAUCGGCCACAUUGGGACUGAGACACGGCCCAAACUCCUACGGGAGGCAGCAGUAGGGAAUCUUCCACAAUGGACGAAAGUCUGAUGGAGCAAUGCCGCGUGAGUGAAGAAGGGUUUCGGCUCGUAAAACUCUGUUGUUAAAGAAGAACACCUUUGAGAGUAACUGUUCAAGGGUUGACGGUAUUUAACCAGAAAGCCACGGCUAACUACGUGCCAGCAGCCGCGGUAAUACGUAGGUGGCAAGCGUUGUCCGGAUUUAUUGGGCGUAAAGCGAGCGCAGGCGGUUUUUUAAGUCUGAUGUGAAAGCCUUCGGCUUAACCGGAGAAGUGCAUCGGAAACUGGGAGACUUGAGUGCAGAAGAGGACAGUGGAACUCCAUGUGUAGCGGUGGAAUGCGUAGAUAUAUGGAAGAACACCAGUGGCGAAGGCGGCUGUCUAGUCUGUAACUGACGCUAAGGCUCGAAAGCAUGGGUAGCGAACAGGAUUAGAUACCCUGGUAGUCCAUGCCGUAAACGAUGAGUGCUAAGUGUUGGAGGGUUUCCGCCCUUCAGUGCUGCAGCUAACGCAUUAAGCACUCCGCCUGGGGAGUACGACCGCAAGGUUGAAA